UGUUUCAGUAGGCCUACUCCCUCUUAUCAAUGUUUCAGUAGGCCUACUCCCUCUUAUCAAUGUUUCAGUAGGCCUACUCCCUCUUAUCAAUGUUUCAGUAGGCCUACUCCCUCUUUAUCAAUGUUUCAGUAGGCCUACUCCCUCUUAUCAAUGUUUCAGUAGGCCUUAUCAAUGUUUCAGUAGGCCUACUCCCUCUUUAUCAAUGUUUCAGUAGGCCUUCUCCCUCUUAUCAAUGUUUCAGUAGGCCUUCUCCCUCUUAUCAAUGUUUCAGUAGGCCUUCUCCCUCUUAUCAAUGUUUCAGUAGGCCUUCUCCCUCUUUAUCAAUGUUUCAGUAGGCCUUAUCAAUGCCUACUCCCUCUUAUCAAUGUUUCAGUAGGCCUUCUCCCUCUUAUCAAUGUUUCAGUAGGCCUACUCCCUCUUUAUCAAUGUUUCAGUAGGCCUUAUCAAUGUUUCAGUAGGCCUUAUCAAUGUUUCAGUAGGCCUUAUCAAUGUUUCAGUAGGCCUUAUCAAUGUUUCAGUAGGCCUUAUCAAUGUUUCAGUAGGCCUUCUCCCUCUUAUCAAUGUUCUUGAAGUUUAACACUUCCUCAUUUGCCACACACACUCAAGUACUGAAAGCUUCAGGCGUUCUCAAUGAGUGUUUUUCUGAUUGGAGUGUUGACUAUAAGGAAAAUAGAACUGUAUCCAUGGAGACAACGAGCUUUUUAAACCUGUCCAAUGUUAUGACUUCUACAGAAUACAUUAACAACCGAUCAGCCAGGCCUGAGGUCAUGUCAGAUAUAAUACAAGGUAUUAGAUGUAGCCUAGGAUACUGAUCCAUGUUCUUCAACAUCAACUAGUCACAAACUGCUAAUAGAAUUGGGAUACUUUUCUGAACUUAACCUGAAAAACUAAAAUAGUAACGUUAGGUAAAUGGAAUGGAUUUCCUGUUUUUGAUUAAAAUCAUUGUGGGAAGUUAGCUAACUAGUUGAUUCAAGAUACAAUCAGGCGGGGCAUUGUAAACAUUUAGUUUGGUUGGCUAGCUAGCGUUAGCAUAACUAGCUAACUGCUUUUGUACAAAUGAUGUUCUUGCUGUUACCUAAAGAAACGCCUGGGAAUGUGUUUAUGGUUGAACUUCAUGUCAGUUUUCCAGUUUAACUGUUGUUGAAAGCUGUGCGCGUAGUGCACCACAAGAGGCCGACAGCGCUACUGAGACCGAGGUCACACGGACUGAGAGGGUGACCGGGCACAGAGCGUGUUGUGUGUUGCGCUUAAAACGGUCCGUGUGGAAACGGGCGCUCAAAAAGGGUCCGUGUGAUGAAGAAAUGGAGACAUGAUUAACGGUGUCCAAUUUUGUUUUUAAGGAAUUACAAAUGUCACGCGUUAUUAACAAGUUAACUUUGACAGCCCCAAGUUUUAAAACAUAAUGGGUUUCAUUUUCAAAUAGAAAAAGGUAGGGAAAUAUAUUAAGUGAUUUGAAGUUUGAAAUUAGUUUGGCUCAAUUUCAAGGACAAAACAAAUUUCAAGUUUUAUGUGUUUAACGAUUUUGGAAACGUUAGACUUUUUUGAUAACCUGGGAAAGUGGAGAGAGAAAUCCGGCCUUAGCUUUGGCACAUUUUGGGAGAGUGUUAUUUUAUUUGUACUAAGGUGUUUUUCACCAAAGUUGACUGGUUUGAUAUUCUUUAUGUUGACUGCAUAUAUUUUCUAAACACAACCCUCCCCUUUUUUUUCACUUUUAUAUAUUUGAUAUUUACAAAGGUUUUUGUAUGAAUUGGUUGUAUUUUGCUUGUGUGUAGUCACUAGCUGCUAAUGCUUUACCAACGAUAUUACAAACACACUGAAUAAUAAUAGAUAUGGUGUUGUGCCCAAGAGCAGCUGGUUAAGAACAAAAGUGGGAUGUUUUCAGAUUCUUGUGUUUUAACUUUUUAAUCUAGGAGACAUUUAUUUACAAGAAGAAUUGACAUGGUACUGAAGGAGCAGCUUUGAAAACCAAUAUAUUUUAAAAGCUUGAAGGACUUUUUUUUUAUGAUUCAAAACAUGUUUAUUUAUGGCUUCCUGCAUGAUGCUGUUUUUAUUUUUUAUACCCAGAUGUUUUUUUCUUUUCUAAAUGAUUUGUCUGUCUGACAUAUUGAAUAACCUGUUUUGAUGGGAAUAGGAAGCAUGAUGGAACUACUUGUUGAGUGGUUUAAUCUUGUAUCCGUCUGCGUCCCAAAUGGGACCCCCCCCCCACCACCACCACCAUAUAGUGCACUAUAUGAGCCCUGGUCAAAAGUAUUAGCAUUCCAUUUGGGACGUAGACUUUGACCCCUAUUCACACUGCCUAGGCAGUAGAGUAAUGUCCAAUACAUGUCAUGUUUCUGUUCAAUAAAUAAACUGAAAAUACUUCC
rnacentral:lncRNA from 1 species